rnacentral:rRNA from 1 species
GACGGAGGAUGCAAGUGUUAUCCGGAAUCACUGGGCGUAAAGCGUCUGUAGGUGGUUUAAAAAGUCUACUGUUAAAAAUUGAAGCUUAACUUCAAAGAUGCCGUAGAAACUUUUAAACUUGAGGAUGGUAGGGGUAGAGGGAAUUUCCAGUGGAGCGGUGAAAUGCGUAGAUCUUGGAAAGACCACCAAUGGCGAAGGCACUCUACUGGGCCAUGACUGACACUAAGAGACGAAGGCUAGGGGAGCAAAUGGG